GCUUACGGCCAUACCACCCUGAGAACGCCCGAUCUCGUCUGAUCUCGGAAGCUAAGCAGGGUCGGGCCUGGUUAGUACUUGGAUGGGAGACCGCCUGGGAAUACCAGGUGCUGUAAGUU
ensembl:rRNA 5S_rRNA 5S ribosomal RNA